rnacentral:rRNA from 1 species
GAUGAACGCUGGCGGCGUGCCUAAUACAUGCAAGUCGAGCGAACAGACGAGGAGCUUGCUCCUCUGACGUUAGCGGCGGACGGGUGAGUAACACGUGGAUAACCUACCUAUAAGACUGGGAUAACUUCGGGAAACCGGAGCUAAUACCGGAUAAUAUAUUGAACCGCAUGGUUCAAUAGUGAAAGACGGUUUUGCUGUCACUUAUAGAUGGAUCCGCGCCGCAUUAGCUAGUUGGUAAGGUAACGGCUUACCAAGGCAACGAUGCGUAGCCGACCUGAGAGGGUGAUCGGCCACACUGGAACUGAGACACGGUCCAGACUCCUACGGGAGGCAGCAGUAGGGAAUCGGCCGCAAUGGGCGAAAGCCUGACGGAGCAACGCCGCGUGAAUGAUGAAGGUCUUCGGAUCGUAAAACUCUGUUAUUAGGGAAGAACAAAUGUGUAAGUAACUAUGCACGUCUUGACGGUACCUAAUCAGAAAGCCACGGCUAACUACGUG